CGGACGGGUGAGUAAUGUCUGGGAAACUGCCUGAUGGAGGGGGAUAACUACUGGAAACGGUAGCUAAUACCGCAUAACGUCGCAAGACCAAAGAGGGGGACCUUCGGGCCUCUUGCCAUCGGAUGUGCCCAGAUGGGAUUAGCUAGUAGGUGGGGUAACGGCUCACCUAGGCGACGAUCCCUAGCUGGUCUGAGAGGAUGACCAGCCACACUGAAACUGAGACACGGUCCAG
rnacentral:rRNA from 1 species